rnacentral:rRNA from 1 species
UACGUAGGCAGCAAGCGUUGUUCGGAAUUACUGGGCGUAAAGCGUGCGCAGGCGGUUUUGUAAGUCUGUCGUGAAAUCCCCCGGGCUCAACCUGGGAAUUGCGAUGGAGACUGCAAGGCUAGAAUCUGGCAGAGGGGGGGUAGAAUUCCACGUGUGAGCAGUGAAAUGCGUAGAGAUGUGGAGGAACACCGAUGGCGAAGGCAGCCCCCUGGGUCAAGAUUGACGCUCAUGCACGAAAGCGUGGGAGCAACAGGAUUAGAGUACCCG